AAUGAACGUUGGCGGCGUGGAUUAGGCAUGCAAGUCGAGCGAGAAGUGACCCUUCGGGGGAGCGGACAGCGGCGAACGGCGUAGUAAUAGAUAGGUAACGUGCCCCAAGAUCUGGGAUAGCUGCGGGAAACUGCAGGUAAUACCGGAUGAUCUCCUUGAGUCUAGUGACUCAGGGAGCAAAGGUGAGAUUCCGUCUUGGGAGCGGCUUAUUGGGUAUUAGCUUGUUGGUGGGGUAACGGCCUACCAAGGCUGCGAUGCCUAGGGGGUGUUAGCGCAUCGACCCCCACGACUGGGACUGAGAUACUGCCCAGACACCUACGGGAGGCAG
rnacentral:rRNA from 1 species